rnacentral:rRNA from 1 species
AUUCCAGCUCCAAUAGCGUAUAUUAAUGUUGUUGCAGUUAAGAAGCUCGUAGUUGGAUUUCUGGUCGGAACGCCGGUCCGGCUCCGCAAGGGGUCGUGUAUUGGUUUCUCCUGCCAUCCUCAGGGGGAGCUGCGCUGGUAUUCAUUUAUCGGCGUGGUUACGCCUGUCGUUUACUGUGAACAAAUUAGAGUGUUCAAAGCAAGGUGUACUUGAAUACAUUAGCAUGGAAUAAUAAGAUAGGACUUUGGUGGUUCUUUUUGAUAUUUUGUUGGUUUGCACGCCAAAGUAAUGAUUAAUAGGAGCAGUUGGGGGUAUUCGUAUUCAAUUGUCAGAGGUGAAAUUCUUGGAUUUAUAGAAGACGAACUACUGCGAAAGCAUUUACCAAGGAUGUUUUCAUUA